AUGGGGGGACCUCAGCCUUCCUCCGUCCCACCUCUCCCAUCCACCUGCCACUGGCCGCGUCUCCACGCAGGUGCAGCUUGCCUGGAACGGAGGGCAGCCGCUGGCCUUGCAGCUCACCUGGGCCAACAGGUCCUCGACGCAGAGCACCUCCUGGGAUGGUUGCGUGGCUGCCUCCCUGGGGCAGGUACACAUUGCCCGCCCUCCCGACCCGGCACCGGGCUGCCCCAAACCCCGGGCCCUGUGCUGCCGCCCCUGCCCCAGUCACAUCCACAUCCUCUUCCCCGUCAGCUCCAGGACACCUGGGGCCUGGGCACCCUCAGGGCCUGUGGGGCCUUAACGCAGACCCCAGCUGUGCUCAGCGAGUGGCUGGAUCUGUCCUGGGACGGACGCCAGGUGCGGCAGAACCUGACUUACGAGAGGCGCCAGCCAUUCCUCCCGGACAAGAUCCAUGCAGAGGCCAUGCUGGAGCAUGUCCUCGGGGCCCCCUGCUCCACGCAGAGCUUCUGGGGAGACGUGGAGACAGACCAUGCCCGCUGGGUGCGCCACUCCCUGCGGCUGGGGCUCUGCCACCUGCCCACGGCACUCUCAGUCUCUGGGGAGCACACCCUGGGCAGCGGUGAGCUCCUGCUACACUCCAGAUGCCAGCUGGGCCUCGCCCCAGACCCAGAUCACGGCCUGCACCUCAGCCUGACACUCCACAACCACAGCAGGCCCCGGACGCAUGACUACUCCGGGGAGCUGGAGCUCCAUGGCCCCAAAGCUCAGUGGCUUGGCCUGCUGGGCCGCGUCUCCACCUCGGCUUCUCGAAGCCUGGUCCAGCUGGAGGGAAGCGUGGACGACGGGGAUGAGAAAGUGAGGCUGUCGGUGUCUCGGGCCCCGAACUGCCUCCAGGCCUCGGUGGCCCACGAGGAAGGGAGCCAAGAGGAGAGCGUGCUGCUGCGGGCCUGCGCCCACAGGCAGGCGGCGGAGGUGGAGGCUCUGCUCCGGGACCGAGGGCAGCCCGUCCAGCCGCUGGUUCGCUUGACCCUGCAGGCUGCCAACCAGAGCCUCCGCUUGGCCGCACGCGGCUGCCAGGGGACCCUGCUGGGCCACGUGGAGUCCAGGGUGGCUGCUCUCGGGUCCCAGAUGCAAGCGGGGCUGGAGGAGAGGAUCCACAGCUUGGAUGCCUAUGUGAGACGGUUCCAGCGCCUGGUGCAGCCAGCGGGCGCCCUGGAUGGCAUGGCCGGCCUGCUUCUGCGGCUGUGCCAGGCGGGGCUGGGGGCCGUGCAGGAUGGUGGCAGGGCGGUGGCCGCGCUGUGGGGCCUGAGCCCCACUGGGCGGGUGCUCACCCUCCACGUGCCGCUCUCCCUGGAGAGGCUGCGGGCAGGUCUGGAGCAGCUGCGGAAGGAGCUAGAACGGCCCCUGGCCACGCUGAAGGAUGCCUACCUGGAGGUGACGGUGCAGCCCCUGGACAACGUGUGGCGGAAGCGGGCGGAGGAGGCCCUGCGGCAGCUGCAGGCCUGGGUGUCCGGGACACCGGGCACCUGGGGGUCCGGACCCCUUGGGGCAGCGCUGGAGGCCACAGGGGGCGCCCUGGAGCUGGCCGCCCACCAGAUGCUGUCUUGGGCCGACGCUGCGCUCUCACGGGCACUGAGGCGGCUCCGCAGACCCCUGUUGGACCUGUACAGCUUCUCGGCCAGGUGACUGUUCCGCUCCGAGGCCCAGCCCCACGCCAGGCACACCUUCCACCUCAUCCACUUCCCUGCCAGAGGCAUUUUCAUCCCCAUUUUACAGAUCAGAAAACUGAGGUCUGUUCUUCAUUCUGCAGAUAUUUUACAAGUGUUCUCUCUGAGCAGGUGGGGUUUUAGAUGCUGCAGACGCAGUGGUGGGUGGGACAGGUUCUGGCCCUCUCCUGGCUGCCUGGGGAGACAGUGACCAGGUUAUCUGCCCCUCGGGGGCGGCAAGCCUUCCUGUAAACGGCCUGAGAGUGAUGUGUACGGAUUUUGUAGCUAGCUGGCCCCUCAUGCAGCCUUGGUCUUUUGUUUCUGUUAAGAAUUCUUUGAACAUGUCAAAGCCAUUCUUAGCUUGUAGGCUGUCCAAAAACAGGACACAGGCUGGAUUUGGCUACAGACCAUAGUCUACCCACCUUUGAGGUAGUACGUGUGCCAAGUCGCCUUAGUCAGGUACGAUUCUUUGUGACCCCAUGGACUGUGACCCGCCAGGCUCCUCAGUCCAUGGAAUUUUCCAGACAAGAAUACUGGAGUGGGUUGCCAUUCCCUUCUCCAGGGGAUCUUCCCAACCCAGGGAUCAAACCCAUGUCUCUUACGUCUCCUGCCUUGGCAGGCAGGUUCUGUACCAUUAGUGCCACCUGGGAAGCCCCUGAGCUAGUAUGUUAUCUAACUGCCACAGGGAAAAAAGGACAUGGGGGCAUUUUUUUAACAUUAACCUUUUAAUGAAUUAUUAGUUUGGCCAAGUGGUGCAGCAUGCAGGAUCUGAGUUCCCGAACCAGUGAUUGAACCCAUGGCCCCUGCAGUGGAAGUGCGGAGUCUUAACCACUGGACUGCAAGGGAAGAUGCCGACGGGGGCAUUUUACAGAGUGAGGCCAUGGUUGGCUUCAGUGAGAAGGCAGCAUCUGAGCCUUGUAAGGGCGAGGAAGUGAGCUGGGUAUAGUCAUGGGAAGAGAGUUCCAGGAGGAGGGCAAAGCCGGCGCAAAGGCCUGGGGGAGCAAAUGCAUCUGCUGCCGGAGGAAUAUGAAGGAAGCCGGGGGAGCUGGAGCGGAGGGUGGAGGAGUUAGGGAGAUAACGGGCUUCUGGAAUACACAGGAGGUUUUGAGCUGAGGAAGGACAUGCUCUGCCUUUCAUUUAAUAAGAUCCCUCUGGCGCCCAUGUAGAGAAUAAAGACUGGGGUCAGGAAGUGGGGGAUAGAAGU
ensembl:lncRNA